UCAGUGCUAUUUAUUAGCUCACUUAG
rnacentral:tRNA from 1 species